CACGAAGUCGGAAUUGCUAGUAAUCGUAGGUCAGCAUACUACGGUGAAUACGUUCCCGGGCCUUGUACACACCGCCCGUCAAACCAUGAGAGUUGGCAACACCCGAAGUCGGUAGUCUAACCGCAAGGAGGACGCCGCCGAAGGUGGGGGUUGAUGAUUAGGGUUAAGUCGUAACAAGGUACC
rnacentral:rRNA from 1 species